rnacentral:lncRNA from 1 species
UAUAUAUAUAUAUAUAUAUAGAUAUACAUAUAUGCAUGUAUAUGAACAUGUACAUUGAGUUGAAUUGGAUUUUGAAUUGUUAUUAAUUUAUCCUUAUCCCUGAGUUUGAUGCUAGCGCUAAACCCAUUAACCAUCUCCAGAUGUUGUAUCCCCACGUGAUGCAGGACAUAAAGACACUGCUAGUUUUCUUAUAGAGUAAUUAAGUGACUUCUGGAUCAGUCGAGAGUUGACUUAAAGUGGUGAGCUUCCAUACUAUAGAAGACCCUAUUUCAUGUUUAGUUCCCUGAGGGAAUACACUCUUCUCUAGACUUAUUUUUGGUUAUUGUCGAGUGCAUGUCCCACUUUUUAUUAGUAUUCAAUUAUUAGAAGCUUAUGGAUAUUACUGUGGACUUGGUUACUUGUUAUUGAUUAUUGGUUAUCGAUUAUCGAUUAUUAUUUAUUGACAAAUCUUAAAUAUCUUUAAGUUAUUAAUCAUGAUAUCUUAUUAUAUGCUCGAAAUUCAGUUGCUGCUAGUGAUUAGGGUCUUUUUAGCUAGGUAAAGGGGAUAGUCCAUUGUCCUUGUUGGACUUAGGAUGCCCAUCACGGCCAGGCCCUGUUUUGGGUCAUGACAAAGUUGGUAUCAGAGCCUAGGUUCAUGGUCAAUUAGUUUUCACCAAAGCUGUGUCAAGUAGAGUCUCUUUUAUAGGUGUGUAGCACGCCACACUUAUAAGGGAGAGGAUAUGAGACAUCUAAGAAUGUUUCCCUUUUUUUUUGUUCUAUUUUGGGCUAUAGAGUCUAAGGCAUUGGAUCUCCUCUAAUUCCCAUUUAUUAAUAGUGCAGAUAGAUCUGAUAUUUGUGGAAACUCUUGAGUCCCGCUUGAGGAUAAUACAUAUAGAGCUCGUCCUACUUAUGGACUCCAUACCCGGUCUAGGGAUCCAAAUCCUGAUUGCCUUCAUGGAGUUCCACCGAUUCCCUCUAGCCCUCCUCGAAUACCUGAGGGUGAUGUGUCCAAAGCUGAGUUUUGCCAGUCAAUCCAUUUACUUAACCAGUUGAUGGCCUCUCAAACUGAGCAUGUUGCUUUUGUCACUCUAUCUUCUGAGGUCACUGGAGAUAGCUAGUUUAUUAGGUUGAGUCCUCCGACUUUCACCAGUUCGAAGGUUGAGAAAUAUCCUCAAAACUUUAUUAAUAAGAUGGAAAAAAUAUUUAGGGUCAUACAUGCUUUUAACUCUGAGGGUGUUGAUUUUGCCACAUACCAAUUGAAGGAUAUGGCAUAUCAGUGUGGAAACAGAUAAGGGGAGAUGAUUUGAGCCAGCUAUAUGGGAUGACUUUUCUAGUGCUUUUCUAGAUCACUUAUUUUCUGAGGAGUUGAGAGGGGAAAAGGCUGAGGAGUUCAUGAAUUUAAAGCAAGGCAAAAUGACUGUGAAGGAGUAUGCCUUGAAGUUUACUUUGGGCUUAUCCCAUAAUUUUAUUUUGGAGUACAAAGCCGAGUUGUUGAAUAAGGAUAUGGAUAUCUCUAAGCUCUUGGUGUUUAUGUAAUAGGAUGAGGAGGAAAAGAAGAAGCAAGCUAGGAUAAGGGAAAGAUAGAGUAAGAAAAUUAGGUAUUUUGAGCAGGGUGGAGGUCAGUAAAACAAUGGUAAAGAUAGUAGGCAGUGGUCUAAAAAGAAGUAGCAAAAUUUUUGUUCCUAUUCUAUGGCUAGUGAUCCUUAUCCUAAGUCGUCUGGUGAUCGUCACUUUUAGAAUGAUAGUGAAUUUAGGGAAAAAACGCCCAGUCUUAGGCUAACGCAGCUUAGUAGACCCCAUCUUAUCCCCUUAUCAUUUCUGUAGAUAGAUUCAUCAUGGUUUUUAUGAUGAAGGAAGUAAUAAGUUCUUUAAGUGUGGUAAAUUUGGUCGCAUGCAGUGGGAUUGUCCUUCAAAGGUCACUUCUGGAGCUAAUAAGGUUUCAGUUGUUACUACUUCAAUUCCUCCACCAAAGGAUGCUACUUCUAGCUCCAGCACUGGUCAAAAUCAUCUAUAUGCUCUUACCACCCAUCAGGAAUCUAAGGUUUCUCCUAAUGUUGUCACUGGGAUGUUACAACUUUUUUCUCAUGAUGUGUAUUGCUAGCUUAAUCUGGGGUAUACUCUUUCUUAUGCGACCCCUUAUAUGGCUAUUCAUUUUAGGUUUGGUCCUGAGUGUAUACCUGAUCCCUUUAUUAUGUCUACCCCAGUGGGUGACUCUGUUAUGGCUAUAAAAGUCUAUAGGGGUUGUGUGGUAUCAAUUUGUGGUAGGGAAACAUUGGUAAAUCUGAUAGAUCUAGAUACGUUAGAUUUUGAUGUAAUCCUGGGGAUGGAUUGGCUCCAUUAGUGCUAUGCCUCUAUAAAUUGUCGGACCCGUAAGGUCCUUUUCAAAUUUCCUAGUGAGUCGGUUAUAGAAUAGGAAGAGAGUUCCCUAGCAUCUACGAGGAGGUUUAUUUCUUAUCUAAGAGCCUGAAAAUUGAUUUCCAAGAAGUGUCUUUAUCAUUUGGUCAAGGUUAAAUAUUUUAACUCUUAGGGUCCUUCAUUAUAAUCCAUUUUCAUGGUUAGUGAGUUUCCCAAAGUGUUUUCGUGAUGAUCUCUUUGGUAUCCCUCCUGAUAGGGUAAUUGAUUUUAGGAUAGACCUUCUUCCAGAUACCUACCCUAUCUCUAUUCCUUCUUACAGGAUGGCCCUGACUGAGUUGAAAGGUCUUCUUGACAAAGGUUUUAUUCAACCUAGUAUUUUCCCGUGAGGUGCUCCUAUUGUCUUUGUGAGUAAGAAGGAUGGUUCCUUUCAGAUAUGUAUGGAUUACCGCCAUUUAAAUAAGGUGACAGUGAAGAAUAGUUUCCUCUUCCCAGGAUUAAUGACAUAUUUGAUCAACUUCAGGGCUAAGAACUUCUCUAAGAUUGAUCUUUGGUCGGGAAUCAUCAGUUGAAUAUUAGGGAGGUGGAUAUCCUUAGACUUCUUUUUAAACCCAGUAAAGUCAUUUUGAAUUUCUGGCCAUGUCUUUUAGGUUAACAAAUGCCACAGCGGUAUUUAUGGAUCUUGUGAACUAGGUAUUCUGUCAGUUUCUUGACUUACUUAUCAUUGUGUUCAUUGAUGAUAUUUUGGUAUAUUCAAAGAGUGAGGAGGAUCAUACCAAUCACCUCUAUGUAGUGUUGUGAACCUUUAAAGAUCAGCGAUUGUAUGCUAAAUUUUCUAAAUGUGAGAUUUGGCUGAAUGUUGUUACUUUUCUAGGCCAUGUUGUUUCUAAUAAAGGGAUCACGGUGGAUCCACAAAAGGUUGCAGUGGUUAAGAAGUUGCCUAGGCCCAUGGCUCUAACCAAUAUUUGGGGAUUCUUGGGUUUAGUUGGGUAUUAUAGGAGGUUUAUGGAGAGUUUUUCUUCGAUUGUUUCCCCAUUGACUAGGUUGACUCAAAAGAAAGUAAAUUUGAUGUGAUUCGAUAUUUGUAAGGGUAGUUUUGAGAAGAUAAAGAAUAGGUUGACUUCGGCUCUAGUUUUGACCCUACCCGGGGGAACUGAUAGUUUCGCUGUAUAUUGCGAUGCGUCCCAUAUGGAACUUGGUUGUGUUUUGAUACAGCAUGGUAGGGUGGUGGCUAUGCUUCUAGACAACUUAAGGUGCAUGAAAAGAACUAUCUAACUCAUGAUUUGGAGUUGUUGGUUGUGGUUUUUGCUUUGAAGAUUUGGCACUAUUACUUGUAUGGAGUUCAUGUUGAUAUAUAUUCUGAUCACAAGAGUCUACAAUACGUGUUCACUUAAAAAGAGUUGAAUCUCAGGCAAAGGAUAUGGCUUGAAUUGCUCAAGGACUAUGAUAUGAGUCUUCACUAUCAUCCAGGUUAAGCUAAUAUGGUUGUUGAUUCUCUUAGAAGGUUAUCCAUAGGGAGUUUAUCUCAUGUUGAUGAGGAGAAAAGAGGCUUGGUGAAGGAUAUUCAACACUUGGCUAAACUUAUAGUUUGUAUUUUGGAUUCCAAGGAUGGUGGGGUAAUCAUUUAGGAGGUAAAGAAGUCUUCUCUCGGUACUGAGGUACAAGAGAAGUAGGUUUUGGACCUUAUCUUUAUACAGAUCAAGGACAAUGUCGGUCAGCAAAAAGUGAUGGCUUUUGAGAUUGGUGGCGAUGGUAUCUUAAGGUACCAAGAGAGGUUAUGUGUUCCUGAUAUUAAUAUGAUGAGAGAAAGAUCUUGGAUGAGGCUCGUGAGUCGCAGUAUGUGGUCCAUCCUAGUUUAACAAAAAUAUACCAUGACUUGAGGAGAUUUAUUGGUGAAAUAACAUAAAGAGAGAUAUAGCUAAUUUUGUAGCUACGUGUAUAGUUUGUUAGCAAGUAAAGGGUGAGCACUUGAGGCCUGGUGGGUUAUCUCAAAAGAUUAAAUUGCCUUUAUGGAAAUAGAAAAUGAUUAACAUGGAUUUCAUUACCAGUCUUCCGUGGUUACUUAGUCAGUUUGAUUCAAUUUUGGUCAUCAUGGAUAGGAUAACUAAGUUUGCUCACUUCUUUCUUAUGAGGAUAAUUUUUUUCUGCGGAGGAUUAUGCUAAGAUUUUAAUUUAGGAAAUCAUCAAGUUGCUUAAUGUGUUUGUCUCUAUUAUAUAUGUUGUAGUAUGCAGUUCCCGCCUCACUUUUGGUGUUCUUUUCAGAGAGGUUUGGGGACUAAGGAUUCUAAAUCUGAAGGUCCUUCCUUACAGACUAUCCCUUGGUCUGUGAAUAUCUAAGGUGUUCCCUGAUGAUCUUCCUAGUAUUCCUCCUGAUAAGGAAAUUGAUAUUUGGUACUGAUCUUCUUCCAGAAACUUGUUCUAUUUAUAUCCCUCCUAAUAGGAUGGCUCCGACUAAAUUGAAACAACUCAAGAAAUAGUUGAAAUAUCUUUUGAAAAAGGGUUUUAUCCGCCCUAGUGUGUCUACAUGGGGUACUCCAGUUCUAUUCAUGUGUAAGAAGGAUGGUUACUUUUGAAUGUGUAUUGAUUAUCGCAAACUGAAUAAGGUGACCGUGAAGAAUAAGUAUCUGCUACUGAGGAUUGAUGAUCUCUUUGAUCAACUUCAGUGUGCUAAGUACUUUUCAAAAAUUAAUCUUCAGUCUGGGUACCAUCAGUUAAAGAUUAGGGUGGUGAAUACCCUAAGACUGCUUUUUGAACUAGGCAUGGUCAUUUUGAGUUCUUGGUGAUGCCCUUUGGUUUGACUAAUGCCCCAGCAGUAUUUAUGGAUCUCAUGAAUCAGGUAUUUUAUCAGUUUUUAGAUAUAUUAAUGAUUGUAUUUAUCGAUGAUAUUUUGUUGUAUUCCAUGAGCAAUGCAAAUCAUAUUGAUCACAUCCGCCUUGUGUUGUAAACUUUGAAAGAUCAGUGGUUGUAUAUGAUAUUCUCAAAGUGUGAGUUCUGGUUAAAUAUUGUGACUUAUCAGGGCCAUAUUUUUUCUAGUGAAGAGAUCAUGGUAGAUCCACAGAAAUUUACGGUGGUUAAAAAGUGGCCUAGGUCCAGAACUCCAACCGACAUUUGGAGCUUCUUGGGUUUAGUUGAUUAUUAUAGAAGGUUUGUGGAAAGUUUCUCUUCUAUUGUUGCCCUAUUGACUAAGUUGACUCAGAAGAAGGUAAAGUUUUUAUGGUCUGAUGCUUGUGAGGGUAGUUUUGAGAAGUUUAAGAAUAAGUUAACUUCGACUCCAGUCAUGAGACUACCUGAGGGUACUGAUGAUUUUGUAGUCUAUUAUGAUGCGUCCCGGGUAGGACUAGAUUCUGUGUUGAUGCAACAUUGCGUAUGCUUCUAGAGAGCUGGAAGUUCAUAAGAAGUAUAAUUCGAUUCAUGAUUUGGAAUUGUUAGAUGUGGUAUUUGCUUUAAAGAUAUGGCUACAUUAUUUGUAUGGGGUCUAUGUAGACAUUUAUUCUGGUCAUAAAAUCCUGCAAUUUGUGUUCACUCAAAAAAAGCUAAAUCUUAGGCAAAAGAGGUAGUGUGAGUUGCUAAAGGACUAUGAAAUAAGUCUCCACUACCACUCAAGUAAAGCUAACGUGGUUGCUGAUGCUCUUAGCAGGUUGUCCAUGGGAAGCUUAUCUUAUAUGGACUAGAAGAAGAAGGAUUUAGUGAAAGAUAUUCACCACUUGGAUAAUCUAGGAGUCCUUCUCUUAGAUUCUAAGGAUGGUGGUGUAACUAUUCAAGAAGUGGUAAAUUUAUCUCUUAGAGCAGAGGCAAAGGAGAAGCAAGUGUUGGAUCCUAUCUUGAUACGAAUCAAGAAUGAUGUGGGUAGGUAGAAGAUAGUGGUUUUCGAGAUUGGUGGUGAUGGUAUCUUGAGGUACCAAGGUAGAUUAUGUGUUCUCGAUGUUGAUGGGUUACGGGAAAGAAUUUUGGCUGAAGCUUAUAAGUGGCGUUAUAUGGUUCAUCUUGGUUCAACAAAAAUGUAUCAUGAUCUCAAGGAGAUUUAUUAGUUGAAUAAUAUGAAAUAGGAUGUGGCCAAUUUUGUGGCUAAGUGCAUGAUGUGUAGCAAGUGAAGGUAGAGCACUUGAGGUCCGAUGGGUUGAGUCAAGAGAUUAAGUUGCUGGUAUGGAAAUGGGAAAUAAUUAAUAUAUAUUUUGUUACCGAUUUUUUGUGGUCUUAUCAGCAAUUUGAUUCAAUUUGGGUCAUCGUGGAGAGGAUAACUAAGUCCGUUCAUUCCUUGCCAGUGAGGAUAGAUUUUUAUGUUGAGGACUAUGCGAAGUUAUAUAUCCAAGAGAUAAUAAAGUUGCAUGGUGCACCAGUUUUUAUUAGUUUUGAUCGAGGUAUAUAGUUCUCAUCUCACUUUUAGAGGUCAUUUUAGUGAGGUUGGGGUACUAAGGUAACCCUUAGUAGUACUUUCCACCCGCAGACAGAUGGGCAAGCUAAAAGGACAAUUUAAGUCUUGGAAGAUAUUCUUCGGGCUUGUGUAUUUGAUUAUGGUGGUAGUUGGGUUGACCACUUACGUAUUAUAGAAGUUGCCUAUAAUAACAGUUAUCACUCUAGCAUUAAUACGGCUCCGUUUGAGGCCAUAUAUUGUAGGAGGUGUAGGUCUCCUAUUGGGUAGUUUGAGGUUGAUAAAAAUAAAUUAUUUAGCCCUAAUUCAGUUCCCCAAGCCAUGGACAAAGUGAAGGUGAUUAGGAUAGGCUUAAGACCGCCCAAAGUCGCCAAAAUUCCUAUGCGGACAUGACACGAAGGGAAUUGGAAUUUAAUGUUGGUGAUUGGAUGUUCUUGAAGGUUUCUCUCAGGAAGGGAGUGAUGCAGUUUGGAAGAAAGGGGAAGCUCAGUCCCUAUUAUGCCGGUCCAUACUUGGUUUUGAAGAAGGUUGGUAUUAUUGCAUAUGAAUUGAGUUGCCUUCUAGUUUAAGCUUCAUUUAUCUGGUGUUUUAUAUUUCAAUGUUGAGAAAGUGAGUGGGUGAUCCUUCGAUGGUAGUUCCUUUAGAAAAGGUGGGCAUUUUAGAUUCCUUGUCCUAUAAGGAUGUCCUGGUUGAGAUUUUGGAUUGGCAAAUCCGUCGGUAAUGGACCAAGGAUGUGGCUUCGGUAAAGGUUCUUUGGAGGAACCAAAAUCUUGAGAAAGCUACUUGGGAAGCCACGAAGCAUAGGAAGUUCAAGUAUCCAUUCUUGUCCCCCGUUUCGGAUAAACAUGCUUGAGGUAUGUGUAUUCCUUAACAUUCUUGUAUUUUGACGUUAUUAAAAGAAAUUGUAAUUUCCUUGGUAUCUUUGUUUUCUGCCUUUGUUAAAGGUAAGUGUGGUUGUGUUUGGGGUUAAAUCGUGUUAAUAAGUGCCUUGUCCUGUCAUUCGAGGACGAAUGAUCCUUAGGGGGGAGUAUGUAAUGCCCUGAGUUUUUGGUCCUUGAAAAUUUCUGAAAUUUUAUCCUCACUGCCCUAACUACAACUUACCCUACUAGUCGUAGGGAGUCUUGAUGAGUCGUUAGACCCAAUCAUAACUUAAUCAGUGUGUGUUUGAAUAAGUUCUGCUCUAAGUAAGGGUGGCUCACUAAGGGUUGUAAAGACUCAUUAUGAGUCGUUGGGUGCUAGCAAAUCAAAGGAUGUCCAGUGUAUACCCCAAGAAGGUUCUAUGUUGAUUAUGACUAGACCCUAUGAGUCGUAGAGUACUAUUACAAGUCGUAUUAGUUGAGUCAUAAGGUCAACAAAGUGUGAGUACCUUGGAGACUAUCUUGUCUAUGACUCAUCGUGACCAGUCGUAAUGAGACCUUACGAGUCAUAAGUGACCCGUAGCUCUGACAGCUAAAUUUCAGCUUUUAAUUUGAGGGUACUUUGGACAAUUUCUUUCUUAUCCAAUUAAAAACCCAUGUUCAUAAAGCACUCAAGGGGCUAUUUCUUAUUCUAAACGUAAUCAAACACUCUCAAAACUCUCUCAAGUAUCUUAAGCAAAAUACUUAAGGUUGCUAAGAAGUAGGCCAUCCAAGGGCUCAACAGUUGAAUUCUUUUCGUGAAACUUUAUAUUUCAAACAUGUCAUUACUCUUCCCUAAUUGUUAAUUUUCUAAAAUCACGAGUUUAAAGUGUUGUUUAUAUGGUAUUGAUGUUGGUUUGGAAACAUGGGUUAAGGGUUUUGAAUGUUUGUUGUUGAAUAAUGUUUCCCAUGGUUUACAAAUAACUUUUCAUGCUUUAAUUUUGGUUUUGAACUUGUAAGGUGCAUGGAUAUGGUGAAUGAACUAAGGGAUUGUGAUUUCCCCUAACUUGUGACUUUUGAAGUGGUUAUGACCUCAAUCCCAUAUUAUGAAAUUGGUUUUGAAUAUCAAAAAUAUGCACAUUGAAUUACUCUUGAAAUUAUUGCAUGAUGUGAAAGGUUAAUGAAGCAUAAUGAUUUUGAAUUAAACCUUAUGAGUUGUGUAAUUACCCAAGCUAAUGUAUAAUUGAACCAAGGGGGCUAUGAAUUCCCCAAAUAAUAAAAUUAUUUCAACAUGUUGAUGUUACUUUGUAGGUGUAGUUGGUAUGACGACACCAACAAUGUAUGCCUAAAUGAGUAUUACCAUUCAAUGAAUGGGAAGGUGUGUUAAUUAUUUUAAUUGGGCUUUAAUAAGGGUUGUGUAGUUGAGUCAUGAAAGUGGAGGUCCCAAGGGAACAACACUAGAAACUGCGAUUGCCGACGCAGGGGUCUAAAUGACCGGGUGGUUCGAAUCCUCCUUAUUAUUAUCAUAUGACUGGGAGGUUUAAGUUUCCAUAUUAUAUUACAUGAUUUGGUGUUUGUCUCACCUUGAUGUGCCGGGAGGUUUGAGUCCCCUAUAGUGCAUAUGUAUACCCUCUAGUUCGUGCAUCUACCCGCACUAGAGCCCUACUAGCUAGGGGAGAGCUCGGCCCAUGUAGCCUGUGGGUGCCUUCUUAUGUUAUGACAGUUGAGCUACACAAUCUAGUCUAAGUUUUAAAGUGCAUACUAAGCCUUGUUCCCUAUCCCGGCAUAUUACUUAUAUAUGUAUUAUGAUAUAACUCAUAUAAUAUUGAAAUGACUGGACUUGACAUUAUUUUAUCCUCUAUCCCUGAGUUACAUGCUAGUGUUUCCCCUACUAACCAUCUUUAGAUGCUAUAUCCCCACGCAAUGCAGGUACCAAAGAUACUUCUACUUUCCCUGGACAGAGUUAGGUAGAUCAGCUUGAUUUAUCGGUUUAUUGUGGUGAAGUGGUGAUCUUCCAUUCUUCGAAAGGCUUAGGCAUUUUAUCUACUUACAUUAUUAGAUUUGAGUUGAUAGUUUUCAUUUUCAUCACCAUUAUCAUUGUCAGAGUUAGGGACAUGUCCUGACCAAGACUGGGUUUGGGUUCUUUUGUUAGAAUGAUUUGUUGAAUUACUAUGAACUUGGGUGAUGUUGGCAGGUAGUUUGUCCAGUUACCGAUUAUCGGUUAUAGACAUUAUUUAAAUAUCAUUAGGCUUAUUCUUAUUCUACCUUGUUAUAUGUUUAGAAUUCAUACGACAUUGAGGAUGUUGGGUUUACUUGUUAGGUGCAGGGGGUGGUCUCCGGUCCAUAUGGGACUUGAGAUGCCCAUCACGGCCAGGCCUUGGUUCGGGUCAUGACAUUUCCCUUACUUCCCAAUUAAAACCCCCGUCCAUACAACACCUUUAGGGCUUUAUUUUGAUCCCUUAUCAAAUCAAAAUAUAUUCUCUCUUUUCUAAAAUUCUCUCAAGAAAGAGCAUUAAGGUUUUCAAGAGGUUGGUAAAUUAGAGCUUCCAAGGGCAAAAUCUCUCCAUAAUACUUGAUAUUUCAAGCAUGUAACUCUACCCUCAAAAAGUGUUUUUACUUAAAGCAUGGUAUUAUAUGAUUGUUUAUGAAGAUUUGAACAUGGGCUUUUAUAUGGGUUGAGAAUUUUAGGGUGAGUGUUUCUUAAACUAUUUUUCCAUGAUUUAUUAUGCAUUGUUCAUGCUUUAUAUAUGGUUUUAAACUUAUGGGGUGCUUGGUCAUGGUGAAUAAACUAAGGGAUUGUGAUUUCCCCAAAUUUUAUGAAUAUUGACAAUUGAAUUGGUGACAACCCUAACCCAAUUUUGCGAAAAUGGUUUUGAGUUUGAGUAUAAUUACAUUGAACUAAUUUCAGAACAAUAGCAUUAAAUAAAGAGUUUAUUGAAACAUAAUGGUUUGAUUUAAUGAACAAAGGGAGGUUGUUUCCCCCACCUUGUAUUAAUAAAUAAAGGGAGUUGUUUUCCCAAGUUAAUGGUUGUAACACCCCGCACUUUCGGACGAGAAUUUGAACCGUCAUUCCUACGUGUGUAAACUCUAAUCCUAUGAUUUGAGUAUGAAUAUAUGUAUCAUUACCAUUCACCUUACCUAUAAAGUGUUUUUGAUGUGAAUCAUAGUCAUAGGAAGCACUUAGAGCAAAGUCGAGUUGAGAACGCUUUCAUCGAUUGAGUUUUAGUAUUUGAUUAUACAAGGGUCAAAUUUAAACAAGUUUACCUCCUAGAAUAUAACUAUUAAGGUUUCCUUCUAUAUAUUAAAUGAAUGUUAUUUUAGUCUUCUUUCCAAUACAACUGGUUUCACCUUAAUUCGAUAUCGGAGUAGAAAGUUAUGCUCAUUUUACUCCAGAGUAUCCGUCUGUCAACAAGUAGACGACUUGAGAUGAUAAGUUGUCAACCAAGUAACGAGCUAUCAACCUCAUCGUCAGCCUUAACCAGAUUCAACUACAAGGUAACGACUUGAGGUGAUAAGCCAUCAACCAAGUGAUGUUCUACCAAGAUCGUCGUCAACCAUAACCACAAAAGGGAAAAACCCGUUUAAACUUGAUGACUUGGGUGAUAGGACGUCACCAAGUUGAUGGCUUGUCAACCUAGUUUUCAGUUAAGGGAAAAUUACUGCAUUUUCUUUAGAUUCUUUAGGGUAUUUUGUUAUUUUCUUCACCUCAAAUCCUAGUUCCCAUGACUUAAAAACAUAAGGAGGCAUUAUUUUCCCCCAUCCUCAAUUACUUAACACGUUUUUCCUCCUCCCAUCAUCAGGAAUAUCAAGAACAUCAAGAUUAGGGUUCCUCACCCAAAAUUCAAGCCUUCCUUCGCAAGAACAAGAAAUUCAAGCUUUUUUCCUCAAGAAUUCAAGGAUUCAAGUUUCGAUUUCAAAUUUUUUCAAGAAUUCGUUCAAUUAAGGUAUGUGGGGCAUUCAUUAAUGGGUUAUUUCCACCCAUUGAGUCCCAAAAAUUCUCUUCUUGGUUUGAGUAUGAAUUUUACUCUUUACUAUGAUCUAACUCAGUGAAAAUCAUGAACUUUUUUCCAUGUUUCAUUAUGAAUCUUACAUUCAUGCCAUGCUAUUAGUUUUUCCAUGUGAUUUAAAUUCCAAACUCAUAGGUCAUGUUUGGUCAAUACCAUGUCAAGUAGUCAAAUUCAUGUAUCUAGUCAUGUAAACAUGAUAUCCUCUCAAUUUUAACUUAUCCCCAUGUUGUAAUUCAUGAAAUUAUCAGUUAUUUACAUUUAUUAUGUUUUGGGUCUCCUAAAUCAUGACUUCAUACCAAUGUUUUAGAUAAUGUUAUCAUAUUUAAAGUAUUAUUCAGUAUUGGCGUGUUAUGAACACCCGAUACCUAUGUGUUUUUACAUAUUUUUAUUUUCAAGUAACAAGUCAGUUAGAAUCAAGAUUUUAUCCCCAUACUCAAAUUAUCAUUUUUAUAACGAACCCACCAGUAUUAUUUCAUGUUAAAUACCUCAUUUUACAAUUUCAUGGUUACUUCAGAUUAUGCAUGCACUGUCAGUUUUCAGAACACCAUGUUUGAGUAUAUCAGUCUUUAGUGCAUGCACCAUUUCAUGAUUUCAGUGUUAUUUUAGCUGGGAGUAGUAUUUAACACUGAGCAAACCCAGGGAUAGGGGCUCACCUACCAGUAGCAGGUCUAACUUUAGUAGCAAUCCCUGAGUUCAAGAUCUACAUAGCCAAUGUAGGUUUAAAAGUCGUUCUUUCAGUUAAGGGUUGACAUAUAUCUCAUAGGAGCACCUGCCAGUAGAGGGUGACUCCUUAGUCCUGUCGGACAUUAUUUCAGUGGAUCCACACAGCCAGUAUUAGCACCUGUAGAAAGGUACUGACACCCUUCUAACAGGGGUUACAGGUUGGAUCCCAAUUAGCUCAGAUUGAGGCAUGUGGGUUACAUGAUAGCUCCCACAAUUUCAAUCCAAUUAAUCAGACUCACUACAAUUUAGUUUUACAUGAUCAGUAUUCAUAUAUCAGUUAUUCAGUAAAUAGAUAUUAGUUAUUCAGUAUUCAAAUAUUAGUUAUUUAAUAAACUAAUAUCAGUUAUUCAGUAUACAGAUCUUAGUUAUUCAGUAUACAGACCUCAGCUACCCAGUUACAUAGAUAUCCAAUUACUUAGUCAUACAAAUACUAGUUAUUCAGUUAUUCAGACCAGCUCAGUGCAUGUUAUAUUUAGUUUUCCUAUAUGUUCAUGUAUCCAUGCUCAGUGUUAUUGUAUAUUCAGAUCCUCGAGUUAGGUCAGUUUAUAUUUCAGUUUUGAUGUGCAUGAUUUUAUGUUAGUUUCCAUCACAUAGUUUCAGACCCAGUAUUCAUACAAGAUCCUCAGUUCAAUCGUAUAGCAUGUUCAAUUUUACAUAAGAUUUACAUAUAGUAUUCAUGUUUUACCAUUUCCUAGCUUCAGUCUUACUUAUUCUACAAAAACAAUGAUUGAAGAAACUAAGCGUAGUGAUUCACCAGUUUAUCAGAUUAUGUUUGUUACUCAUGUAUUAAGAUACCUAAGCUUUCAGUUGAUUUGAGUAUCUUGGUGAGUCUACUUGAACUUAGCAUGCAUAUUUUAUGAUUAUGUAUCUAUUCGGUUUUACUUAUUGCAUUCACCCCCACUUACUUAGUAAAUUUCAAAAGUACCGAUCCACAAAUAUGUCUAUGUGCCACAUUGUCUUAAAAUGUAGGUACCAAUUAUAGCUCACACAUCAUAAUCAGACAAUUUGCAGCUUCCAGCCAGCCGGUGAUUAGUUCUCUUAUUUUGGGGACUCCAGUCAGUAGUAGUUCAUGUACUAUCUUGCUAUUAUUCAUAUGUAUUAAUUAGUGGUAGUUGGAGUCAUUCCCAACUAUCUAUAAUCAAUAUAGUAGAGGCUUCAUAGAUAGUCAGUCAGAGUCGUUACAUGUAAUUCAAGUUCUUUCUUCAGAUUUAUCAUGUUGUAAACUUUAUCAAUAUUACAUUUAUUCAAACUUUCUAAUGAUCAUGUUUUCUCUCAGUAGAUUUAGUUUUUAUAUAAUUUAAAUCAGUUGCUCAAGCAAUAUGCUAGUUCAUGAGUUAGCUUGGGAUCACUUGUGGUUCCAGGCAUCAUGUUACGACAAGGGGGUAGUCUCGGGUCAUGACAAACUUGGUAUCAGAGCACAGAGUUUAAGUUUCCAAGAGUGUCUAUGAAACUGUGUCUAGUAGAUUCUUACGAAAUAGUACAAAGACGUCUGUACUUUUUUUUGAGAGGCUAUAGGGCAUUUAAGAAAUAUUUCCCUUCUUUUAUAUCUCAGAUCAUGUUGUAGAGACGUUCUUUAAGAAACUUAUACAAAUUCUCCUCUAUGUCCAUUUAUGUCAACUCUACCUUACUUUUAAGGAAACAGAAAUAGUGAAGCUUAAAUUCCUAUCCAUAGAGUUUUCUCAGACAGUCCCCGCAGACAGCUAUGGGAUUACAGGUUGACUCAAAAAGUAUCCCGCUAGUGCUUUUACGUUCCAAAAUAUAAAGGAUUUCAUUCAUGAUCAUGAAAAAUUAUGUAUUGAUCCAAAGUUAGAUGUGCCCUCAGAUCCCUUCUUAGAAUCCUAUGACAGCAUAUGACCAAGGGUUAGAAGCAUGAACCCAGAAGUUUAGCAGCAUUAAACUGGGAUAGUGUUUAUCUGGAUUUAGUAUAUUAUGUAUACAUGGAGCUAGUUGUAUGAAAGGUGAGCUAGUAGGGUUGAAACAGUGCAUACAAGAAUUUAAGUUUGUUGAUUCAAAAUUCAAUAUGAUGGUGUGGUUAUGAUCUAGAGGUGUACCCAAGGUGAUAUAGGAUUGUAUUAUUUUAUUUUAAUGUGUGUGUAUGUUUAGAUAGUACCCUUGAAUUGCUAAGUGCAAAUAAGGCUAGUGGUGUACUAUACGAUGUUCUUACCAGCUAAGUUAUGGGCUAUAGAAAGAUAAGAGUUAUCUCAGAAGGAAGUAUUAGCAGUGAGUUUCACAAUUUCAGGUGUAGACUUUUAGGGUGAGUUUAUUAUUUAUGUGCAUUGUUAUAUCUCGGACCCUAGAAUAAAAUGGAUACAGUUCAGAUCAGAGUUUAUAAAAAGGGGUCCACAAACUUAGAAUAAUGGCUUUAAUCAAAGGGGGAGAUGAUAGAACAAGGAACUAAGUCAGGCUUUCAGAUUCUAGUAGUGAUGCUAGAGAGUUGUAUAACAACACUAGGGGAGGAAGAUACCUAACCUACUCUUAUCUCAGUUCAAAGUUUUGUACUUCAGUCAUCAUGACAUCUACUCAUGCAUUACAAGUCCUCCCUAUGAUCAUAGUUCAUGUUCAUGUACGUAUAUAGAAUCAUGUGUGCUCCCAGUUCCUAGUAUAAGAAGUUCCAAUUUGCUCAGCAUUAUGAAUCAUAUUCCAUCAAAUCAUGAACUCCAAACUCAAGUCAUGCAGCUCAUGACUCAGGUACUCAUGCUUUAUAGAAUCUUCAGUUCCAAGUACUGAUGGUACACUCUUAAUGACUAGUGAAAUUCAAAUUUAUGGCAUGCAUGCCUUUAGUUUAGAUCUCUUUAAUGAAUCCAUGUCUUUGAUACUCUAUUCCUCAAGUAUAAUAUUUUUUCAUGCUUAAUGUCAUCAUGUUCUAACCUUUUAGUGACCUUUCCUUAUAAAUAAUAGUGGUGAUGAGUAAUCACUGAGAUGGAGAGAGUAAAUAUUCAUUAUUAAUGAAAAGAUUAUUGUAUGCUCAUUGUAUCUAAGGUUGUAAGUGUAAAGGAAAAGUAUAGUUGAGGGAGUAUCUGAGAAGUGUGGCUAAGCUUGAAAGUUAGAAGUUGCCUUGCCUAAGGCAUAUUAAUUCUAUCCUAGCUUAUAUCUCAUAGGCCUAUGUUCCAUGUUAUAAAAUUAUAUCCAUAUAGCCAUAUUAAUAUUCCAUGUUUGAGAAAUAGUUCUCACCUAUUCCCUGUGGGUUAAAUCCUAACCUAGUUGGAUUACUACAUUUGACUUCGACCGUAUUAUACUUCUAAGGUUUUGUACAACAUCAGAUAUGAACGUUUGCUACAUCAGUUUCUUGGAUCAGUUAGCAGAUAUCUUCAUCAAGAGCCUCCUUUUUCUUCCGUUUCAUAUCCUUUGUUCCAAGCUUGUAGUUGCACAGCCACAGCUCAGCUUGCGGGGUCAUGUUAGGACACCAUAAUAGCCACUUUUAUGUAUUUACAUUUGAUCAGAAGUGUAUAGUUUAUCUCUUUAUAUUUGACUAGAAUUGUAUAGUUUAUCUCUUAUAGAGUUUUUAUUCAACUACACUUUGUAUAGCAUCCCAUAUAUAUUGAGGAAAAACUCAUCUGUCAAUAAUAAUCGAGUCUUCUAUCUUUAUAAAACCUUUUUAGUUAUUGUCAACUCUUUAUAUCUCAUAAAUGAAAAUAUAAUGUGUUAGAGUCAACUCUUGCCCAUGAAGCAUAAUUUAUUGUUUGAAAGUCCUUGAGUGCCUCUAAGGUAGGAGUUAUAUAACAUCUCAUAAAUCAAAACACAAUGUGAUAGUGCCAACUCUUGCCCAUGGGGUAUAACUUGUUGUUUGAAAGUCCUUGGGCUAAGUAUUGCCUCUAAGGCAAGAGUUAUAGACCAUCUCAUAAAUCAAAAUACAAUGUCGUAGUGUCAAGUCUUGUCCAUGCAGCGUAACUUAUUGUUUGAAAGUCUUUGGGCUUAGUUUUUUCACUAAGGCAAGAGUUAUAGAGUAUCUAAUGAGUCAAAACACAAUGUGGUAGUGUCAACUCUUGCCCAUGGUAUGUAACUUAUUGUUUGAAAGUCCUUGGACUAAGUCUUUCUUCUAAGGAAAGAGUUAGAUAACAUCUCAUAAAUCAAGAGAUAAUGUGGCAGUGUCAACUCUUAUCUUGAAUAACACUUGUUGUUUGGAAGGAAUCAAAGAAAAAAUAAUAAAAGUUGAGGAAAAAAGGAAAAAAUAAAGAAAAACAUUAAAAUAAAAAAGAAAGAAAUCAAAAAAAUUUAAAAAGUGAAAAGAAAAAAAAGUAGAAAACGUAGAAGUUCAGAGGAUAAAAGAAAAAAAUAAAGGUUAAAAAAGGAAGAAAAAAAGACAAAACAUAAAAGAAAAGAAAAUAAAGGCAAAGAAAAAAUUAAAAAGGAAAAGAAAAGAGAAUGAAAAAGAAAAGUAAAAUAAAAAUAAAAAAGAGAAAAAAAAAUAGUAGUUGAGAGGAGAAAAGGAGGAAAAGGUUGAGAAAAACUUUCUUAAAAAAGAAAAAGAAAAAAUUAAAGUUCAAUUAAAAAAGAGAAAAAAACAAAGCUGAUAGAUAAAUAAGCAGGGAGAAUUGUUUUAAAAUAUUUGAGGUAUAGAGGGACACAUAGGUAUUUUUUAUAUACAUUAAGAAAAAUAGUUUUAUAGUACUGUGAGUUAUUUCUAUAAUUUACCCAUGCUAAUUAUCCUUGCUUAUUUUUAUUUUUUUUGUUAACAACCUUGCUUAUUUAUUAGCCCAUCAACGAAAUCUACGCCCAAAUAAAUACAACAAAUCAUGCCCAGUAUAGUCUCACAUAGUAGGGUCUGGAAGGGUAGAGUGUAUGCACACCAUACACUACCUCAGGUGAAGUAGAGAGGCUGUUUUUUAUAGACCUCCGACUUAGGACCGAUAAUAGUAUAACAAACACAAAAACAAAAAUGCAUAUAAACUAGUACAGUAUGCAAAAUAAACUAACACCACUAGUCACAAGAUAAUACUACAGCUACAAGAUAAUACUAAAAACUAUCUGUCUGAAAUCAUAGACAUCACUUAACACCACGAACAAGAAACUUCAGUCAAACAUAAAGAACGCUCCCCAACUGUUACCGACGCACUCCCACCCCCAACCCUCUACCCUAAUUUGCGUCCUCCAACCUUUCUAUCAAGGAUUAUGUCCUCCGUAAGUUGUAACUGCUCUAGGUCCUGACCUCCGAGCUACGAAAGGUAAUAAGGUGUUUCUUCCUCUUUGAAAAGCUCAAAUUCGCCACCAACAAUCUAAAAGCCCUAGCAAAAUCUAAAAGAAAAGCUUCUUCUUCAUUUCAAUCCCCGAAACCAAAACUUUCAUGCAUAUCAUCAUACCCUCUCGAUAAAGACCCAAUAUACCCAUUGAAAUCUCCUCCAACGAGAAGCAUCUCCAUGCUCGGAAUGCCCUUGACCACCUUAUCCAAAGCCUCCAAAAAUUUCUUCUUCCCCUCCUCGUCCAAACCUGCUUUCGGAGUGUAGGCACUGAUAACGAUCAAAGAAGACCCCCCCAAUGAUCAAUCUAAUCGACAUCAACCAAUCAUUAACCUGCUUAACCUCCACCCCCUGCCCCCAAAUCUCUUUAUCUACUAAGAUACCUACCCCAUACUUAUGCCUCUUGCUACCCUAGUACCACAACUUAUACCCGUCUAUAUCCCUUUCCUUAGAGUCUACCCACUUAAUUUCCUGGACACAAGCUAUACUAAUACUCCUCUUCCUAAGAAUCUUCAUGAGCUUUAUGGACUUACCUUGAAGAUUCUCUAUGUUCCAAGACCCAAUCCUCAACUUGAAAUCUCUCUUAUCCCACCUAGCCUUACUACCCCUCGCCCCUAACCCCAAAUUUAACCCUAGACCCGACCCUAAACCAUCACCUGACCAAGACCUCAGCCCCAACCCCGACCCUGACCUAUGACAUGACCCUAGUCCACCAUCUACCACCACAGCUACUACUUAAUAAGAUAUGUAAGAAGAAAAAGAAUAAAAGGAGAAGAAAAACACAACAAAUAAAAGUCAGAUAGGUACUACUAAAAGUGACACAAUGAUAAUAAUGGACAAAAUUAGUAAAGAAGCGAGAAACUAUGAGCAUUGUCCUCUAAGGAACAAACAGAAAUAAGUAAAAAAGUUUUUAUAAUCACAAUCAAUAACAAUCACAGGCACUAUACUACCCACAGAUGCUAAUUAAUACCUCCUACUAAGUUACAGAGCAACAAGAUAGUCAACAAAAAAAUCAAGGUAGAAAAAGGAACAGGACAUAUCUGUCACCCCUAAUCAGAAAGCCUAGACUAAAAAAAAACUAAAAGAAAAUGAACAACAAAAGAAUGAAAUGAGUGCACCUGAUUUUGGGAAAUGACACAAUGUUGGAUGCUUUAUUGAUCGUUUCGUCAGAUUUUGGCAAGUUGGUGCAGAAAUUGGUCGUUGGAAUUUAUUGCCGUCGUCUUUACCUACUGUUGGUACCUUCCUUGUAAUUGCUCAACCUGAAAAUUGUAUUGGUCGCCGCAAAUAUUAUUGUUCGCCGGAAAAUACUACGCACCAUACUUGUAUUUCUUAAAAAAGGUUAUAAAGGAAAGAAAGAGUGCAGAACUAAUCGUCAGGGAAGUCUCCGAACGGCAUGCUUCACCGGUCAGAUCCGUCCUUACCAAUCACUUACAGUCACGGUAAAUAGCCACGAGAUAAACCCAGCAAUAACGAACUUGUAACUCUGGUGGAAAGGAGUGUGAUGAGUUUGCCAGUGAUUUUUGGUUCUCAAUGUGUUUGCUGAAGAACGUCGUGUUCGUCGGAGAGAAAUAGUACCAACCGACCAGAUUACCUAUUCUGAUGAUGUUGUUUAGUCAUCGAAGAGAAAGAGAAAGAGUACCGGCCGAUAAUGAGAAAGUACCGACUAGUAAAGAGAAAAGAAGGGGGGAUUACCCACCGGAGCAUGUCACCGCCGUUUCAUUUCUUGACCGAAGAGAGUAUUAUUCCUUCUGAAGUUUAAUCAUAAUAAUUUCAAAAUGAUUGAUAAACUUUAAUCAUAUUAAAAGAUUCUCUUGUAUCAUUUUAUCCUUGAUGAUAUGUUAUUAAUAUAACUAAAGAUAUAUUAUUACAUGUUAAACCCCUCUAAUCCAAAAUUUACACAAGUGGUGUCUUCCAAGCGACCUUCAGCUUGCACAACUAAAAUGUGAGGUUCUUACCGAAAAUAAGGUUGGUGGCAUUUAUUUUAGUAGGUAGAAAAAAAUUGCAGAUGUGUCUUAUUGCCAUUUGUUCUUAUCAGGAUUGUUAGUAAAUAAGUGUAUGUAUUGGUUGAUAGGACGUUUUUGUGGUACCGUCUUUCGUCCUGAAAUUAUUUCAUUUGACUUUGAAAAUGAAACACUACUAAAACUAUAUCUCCCCUAUUAUCUUUUCAAAGUAUUUAUGGCUAGGCUUUGAUGGAUUUGAAAGGGAUGCUUUGCUUGCCAGAUAUAAGGUGUUUUCGCAAAAUUUUAAUUAUAGACCCGUGGAUAUUGAAGGAUAAAAUAAUUAGUUACACCUAGGUAAAGGAUUAUAGCAUCAAUUUGGUUAACUUUGGAUCUGAGAAGAUCACAUCUUACUUCAAGACAUGAAAUGAAGGAAUAAUAUUCACACAUUUGGAUACAACCGUGGUCUAUGAUUUAAAAAGAAAAUGUUUCAGAGGUGUGAAAUGUCUUAAGUUUAAUCAUUAUUAAGCAUAUAGGUUCUUCCGUCUUAAGAGUUUAUUCCUUUUAUGUUACACAGAGGCGAAUCUAGAAUUUAAAGGUUGUGGUUCCUAACUUUUAAUUUUUACCACUAGAUCAAUAACACACUUUGUUUGUGGGUUCCCAACUUAUAAUUCUUAUAUAUUUACUAGUUUUUUCAAUAUAAAUUCAAGAACCGUAUGAAAGUUAUGAGUUCCUGAAAACUCGCACGUAAAGCUGUGCAUCCGCCCCUGAUUUACAGGAUAAAGGAUUCACUAUAGGAAAAAUUACAUGUUUGAGUACUUUUAUAAAUUAUUAAUUUCUUUUAAAUAUAUUUUUUAUUCAUUAUCUAGAUAUAUCAUAUUUGAAAAAUAGUUAUAAUCUAUAGCAAUUGUACUAUAAAAUAACUAAAAGUGAAUUAUGUAUAUAAUAUAGAUUUAUUAGAAGUGUAUUAAAAUGUAUUAUACUUGUUUUGUUUAAAAAAAUGCAUUAUGUACUAAAAAUAAAUUAUGUAUGCAAUACACAUGUAUUACACUAUGCACUAAAAAUAAUUUAUGCAUGCAAUAUAGAGUCUAUUUGGAUAGGAUUAAAAGAAAGUUUUUAGCUUAAAUGUUUAUAAGUUGAAAAUAAGUGUUUUUAAUUAAGCAGAUAAAUGUUAGAAUAGAAGUGUUUAAACUGAGAAAAAAAUGUUGAUGUAUUUGGUAAACAAGUAUUAUUAGAUACUUCUUUAUUGUCAAAAUGACUAAAAUAUUCUUAAAACUGUCAUCACCAUAAAUAAGUUAAAUUAUAUCACUUUUAAUUCAAAAAUAAUUUAUGUUUAAAUGCGCUUUCAGCAUAAAUGAUGAUUAUGUGAGGUGAAUUUACAAACAUAAGAUACCUUUUUAUUUUUAAAUGUUAAAAAACAAAAAAAUUAUGAUAUACAAAGUAAAAAUGUAAUAUUAUAAUACAUCAAAGUUAGAAAACAUAUCAACAAUAUUGCAACAGUUUAAGUGUUAUUUUUUAAAAAAAAAAAAGUAUUCAAAAAAUUUCAAUAUUUCAAGUUCGUACAUGGCAGGCUUACAAUGGGCUUGGAAUUAAGGAAAAAUAUAAAGGAUAAAAAGGUAAAUAUCUUAAUUAAAUUUAAAAAAAAAUUAAGCUAAAAAGGAAAAAGUAGGGGGUAUGUAGCUUCUAACUUUUUGCUUUUCUAAAUCAAUUUUUAGCUUUAUUUAAGCAUUUUUUUAUUUUACCAAACAUCGAAAAAGCUAAAAAAAAAAAAAAAGAGAUGAAAAACUAAUUUGACCAGUUUUUAAUCUUAUUCAAACAAGCUCAUAGAUGUACUAUAAAUGUCUUUAGCGUAUUAUGCUUGUUUUGAUAAAUAUUUCAUAUUAUAUAUUAAAAAUAAAUUAUACAUGUAUUAAAAUUACAUAACUAUAAAUGAUAAAUAUUUUCUAAAUAUGAUAUAUUUAGAUAACUUUCCCAUCAUAACAAUGUUACGACAUACUACUCUCAUCUCUUAUUACAUAUGUUGCAUCCUUGGCGAGCACUGUGGGCACUUAUUUUUAGUUUAUUGGGUCCGAGUUUAUCAGAUUAAUAUUGUUGGAUUUUAGUUCCAGGGUAAUUUCCCUAUUCAAGGUUCUAUUUCUGUGUGUUUAUUGUUUUAUUUUCUUGAUGCAUGUUAGUUAUGUUCUUUAAUCAGCUAUAUUUUUUGAUAAUGAGUUACUGUGAUUGUGAUCCCAUUAUUAUUUCAACAUUUCAAAUUUUGGCAUUGUGUUGAUUUCUUCGAUUUUGGUGCGUUUAUUUUCUCUGUGAUGUAGCGUGAAAAAGAUUGAAGAAGGUUUGUGAGUUUUGUUAUUUUCUGGGUAAAAUAUUUGUGUUUAUCAAAAUGAACUUCGACACAAAGUUCAAGAACAAGUUCAAGAACUACAAAGAAGUUUCAACAACUUCAAACGCAAGUGUAAACGAACUAUCAAAAUAAAAUUUCUACUAUUUUCUAGCAAAUCAAACUCAAAAGAAAGUAAGAUGAAGACAGAAAUGAUAGAAUCAAGUCUACCGAAUAGAAUUAAGUCUACCGAAUUCACGAUGUGUUCUUAAGGAAUUUAUUCUCCUCAAGUAACUGAAGUUAAUGAAAUCUUUUCUUCUAGGAUAAAAUAACCCACUCACUACAAGAAAAGUGCUUAUUACCUAGGGAUUUUCAUAGGGAUAAUGUGGUAAAAUUUCCAAGUAAUUUGAUUACCUACGGAUUUUCUUACCAAUUAGAAUCCAAAGGAAAUACCUUUGUAGGUAAUUAUUACCUGCAGAUUUAUAAAAUUCCUAGGUAAUUUAGUUGCGAAAAUAAAUCCGUAGGUACGUUAUUUGCGAUUAACUAUCAAAAUUUUGCAUGAAUUUUUUGGUAAAAUUUCAUAAAAAGAAUUUUACCUGCGGAUUUUCACGAAAAAAUUCAUAAAUUAUUCUUCACGAAGAUUCCCAAGUAAAUUCCUAGGGCAGGUACGUUAUUUGCAGAUUUAUUUGCGAUUAUCUAUCAAAAUUUUACAUUAAUUACUUGGUAAAAUUUCAUAAAAAAGAAUUUUACCUGCGGAUUUCUACAAAAAAAAUUCACAAAUUAUUCUCCACAAACUAUUUCGCAAGAAAAUUCGUGUAAAAUACCCCAAGUAAAUCCACAAGAACAAAUUUUUUCAAAAAAAUUGUCAUGAAUAUUUAGUAUGCACAUCCCAAUGAAAAUUCUCAAAUAAUAAUUCAUGCAUAAAUUACUAAAAACAUUUCACAAUUAAUCAAAAAUAUAUUCAAAACCUUCAAUAAUUCUCAAAAACAUCAUUCAUACAAGUCUAAUAAUGUAAAUCAUUACAACUAACAAAAAAACAUAAUUCAAAACAUCCACAUCAAUAAUGUAUGAUUCUUAAAUGGUCCAAAAUAAAAUAUUUCAAACUUGAAUCCUCAAUAAAACUACCAACCAUCAAGGUCAGAAUCACUUUCAUUCACGUCUUCAGAGUCAUCAUCACUUUCAUCCUCUUGGUUGUCUUCUUGGAAUGGACGUUCAUCAUUUAACAAAUCCUUUAACUUCCAACAGUCGAGCAAGACCUCUCCACCACAAGAGACCGCUUGUACUAAAUGACAAGAUUAGAGUUGAAAUAGGAAAAAGACAAAUACAAAAAGAGUAUUAACAACAAUGUAGUAAAAUAACAGAAAGAAUUAUUUCAAUAAAAAUCUUGUUAUUCUCUUACAUUAAUUGAACAUGAAAUUGAAAAGUGAGGUUGAUAUUAUAAUUUUAUGUUACUAUACUUAACCAUUUUCAAAUAACUACACUUAACCAUUUUCAAGUCACUACUCCACACGUCAAGUCACUACACAACCGUUUUUCAAAUAACUAAUUCACAUUGUAAGUCACUACACUUGAAACAUUUUCAAAUCACUAGUACACAUUUCAAAUCACUACACUUAACUAUUUUCAAUUAACUAAUUCACAUUUCAAGUCACCAUACUUAAUCGUUUCCAAGUAACUAUACUUUAUUAUUUUCAAGUUAUUAGUACACAUUUCAAGUGACUACACUUAAUCAUUUUCAAGUCACAAGUUCACAAUUUCAAGUAACUACACUUAACCAUUUUCAAGUCACAAGUUUGCAAUUUCAAAUAACUACACUUAAUGAUUUUCAAGUCACUACACUUAAUAAUUUUCAAAUAGCUAAUUAAUUGACAUUUCAAGUCAUUAUACUUGACAAUUUUCAAGUGACUACACUUAACAAUUUUCAAUUCACUAGCACACAUUUCAAGUCGCUACACUUAACCAUUUUCAAAUAACUAAUUCACAUUACAAAGCACUACACUUAAUCAUUUUCAAGUCACUAGUACAUAUUUCAAAUCACUACACUUAACCAUUUUCAAAUAAUUAAUUCACAUUUCAAGUCGCUAUACUUAACCAUUUUCAAGUAACUACUUCACCUUUCAAAUAACUAUACUUAACCAUUUUCAAGUCACUACACUUGAUCAUUCAUUUCAAGUUACUAUACUUAACCACUUUCAAGUAACUACAUUUAACCAUUUUCAAGACACUAUAACUAACCAUUUUCAAGUAACUACACUUAACUAUUUUCAAGUCACUACACUUAAAUCAUUUUAAAGUCACUAGCAUACACUUCAAGUCACUGCACUUAAUUAUUUUUAAGUCACUAGUACACAUUUCAAAACUCUACACAUUUCAAGUAACUAUACUUUAUUAUUUUCAAGUUAUUAGUACACAUUUCAAUUGACUACACUUAACCAUUUUCAAGUCACAAGUUCACAAUUUCAAAUAACUACACUUAAUCAUUUUCAAGUCACAAGUUCGUAAUUUCAAGUAACUAUACUUAAUUAUUUUCAAGUCACUAGUACACAUUUCAAGUCACUAUACUCAAGCCAUUUUCAAAAAGCUAAUUGACAUUUCAAGUCACUAUACUUAAACAUUUUCAAGUCACUACACUUAACCAUUUUCAACUCACUAGUGCACAUUUCAAGUAACUACACUUGACUAUUUUCAAGUAACUAAUUCACACUUCAAGCCGCUAAACUUAACCAUUUUCAAGUCACUAGUACACAUUUUCAAUCACUAUGCUUAAUCAUUUUCAAAUCACUUAAUCCACUUCUUAAGUGACAACAUUUGAUCAUUUUGAAGUCACUAGUACAUAUUUCAAAGUACUACACUUGAUCAUUAUAUACAGUUUUAAUUUAAGAUCACAAGAUUUCAAAAUAUUCUUCACUAAACUUUGUUUCAAGUUAAACCAGACAAACAAAUUGAAAUAGAGUACUUAAUAUAACUUGACAGUAAUGAACAGUAAUGCACUUCAUAGUCCUACCAGUCAACCACAUUACUAACUUAAAUACAAAUUAACUUGAUAGUAAUGAACAAUAAAGCACUUGUUAGUCCUAUCAGUCAACCGCAUUACUAGCUUAAAUACAAAUUAACUUGACAGUAAUGAACAAUAAUGCAUUUGUUAGUCCUAUUAGUCAACCACAUUAUUAACUUAAAUACAAAUUUUUGAAUAUGAAGGUCGUGGGUUCAUCCCAUGAAAACAACCUCUAACAUAAAUGCAAGGUAAAUCUGCAUAUAAUAAACUCAUAUGGUCCGAGAGAUUUGACAAAAACACCUACUUAAUAUAUUAAAAUUCAGAAUAUAUAUAUAUAUAUAUAUAUAUAUACACACACACACACACACAUAUAUAUAUAUAAAUAGGGGUGGGCGUUCAAUCGGUUCGGUCUAAUUGUUAAUAUCGGUUCGAUUUACCGAUUUUCAAAUUGACAAAAAUGACAUCCAUAACCAAACCAAAAUAAAUUUGGUUUGGUUCGGUUUUUAUAAAUUCGGUUCGGUUAUUUCGGAUUAUUAUUUCGGUUUGAAAUAUUAAAGUAGUUAGCCUCUCUUUUUCAAUUUUAAAACCUCAUUCAUCUUCAAAUAAGGUUCGAGAUCAGCUCUUAUCAUGCAAACAAGAAAAACCAUCGACCAUAAUUUCAAGACAACACAGACUACAAACUACUAAGUACUAACAAUACCAUAUACUAAAGAGAUACUAAUAUAUAAGUAAUCAGCAGACCCUAGUCAUCUUAUUGCUCGAUUAGAAUAAAAUGCAAAAUGAAAUCACAAUAUAAUCAUCUAUUUUUAGUUACAUCCACAGACCACAGGAUAACUAAUGAUAAAACAAUCUGUUAGUCACUACCACCAUCCACCAAUACACAAAACAGCUGGUCUACUCGAAGCAAUAUUUAGACGACAUCGCCAUUCAUCAGGCAGCAACAUAAUUUAGAUCCAAAAAAAUGCUCAAAAGAGACAAAAUGUAUUAGGUUCCAAUACAUGAAUUACUAGAGAAACAAUCAAGAUGUGAAGUUCAAUUGUCCUUCAAUUAGAAUCCACAAGUUUCUUCCCCAGUUAAAGCUUUUGGUUCAACCAACAUUAGACGAGCACCAACUAGAAAGCAACGUAGUGCUGCUCAGCUGCUCAAAUAGCAGUUCAACUAAACUAGUCAUUCAGAACACUAGGAAGUACUUGUGUUGCUCGAAUAGCAAUUCAACUAAACUACACAUUCACAACACUUGGAAAUAGCUGUCAACAGUCAACUAGAUCUUAAUGAAACUUUGUUUCUACUUGAAAAAAUAAAUUCAAAAACAAUACCGGAUUAGACAUAUUUUGAAGGCUGACUAACUGAUGGAACAAAUAAAUGAAAACGUGGUCUGCCCACAGUGGUAGUCGAUCGCCGGUCGUCACUCAACAAACAAAGAACACGGUCAGUUCGCCUCAAACACAAUCGUCGGCAUCGCUCAACAAAUACGAAACACCAAUCGCAGCCUCGCGGGUCUUUAUUUGCAGAUCGCCGGUCUCAGUAUUUUUGUAAAGAAAUGGAGUAGAUUGCCGGUGCACGGUCGUCUAUCGUCAUUGUAAAGGAUAAGCCGAAAGCAGCGUGUAUCGGGGUGUGUGAAAUGUGAAUUGUAAAUUUGUAAUGGGAUUUGUGAUUUAGGGUUAACUAAUAUAAUAUAUCUAUUAAUAAUAUAUAUAUUAUAUAUAAUAAAUUAAUAAUAAUAAUAUCUAUAUAUAUAUAUAUAUUAUAUUAUUAUUUAUAUAAUUUUGAUUUUUGAUUUAACUGAAUUUCUUUUUAAGAAAAUCGAAAAUCGAAC